CUAUAUCAUGUCUCUCUAAUAUUCCUACCAAUCAAUCAAUGUACAAAAUGUGGGGCUACUAUGAAUAUGACUAAUCAUGUGAAAUGAAAACUUUCAUUUCCAUAAUAAUUGAAUAAUACAAUAAAUACGCCGUCCUAGAAUGCUAUAGCAAGAGAAAUAAUGGUAUAGAUAAUUGACCACAUUGUUUGGUGAUUAUGUACGUCAGAACAAUUAAAAAUGACAUUAAAAUCGGGGUGGUUGUAGGUGAUGGUGAUGAUCCUGAAGAUGCACCAGUGCCGCUGAAUAUCAUUCCGAACAUAUCGACAUCGCCGCUGGUGGAUUCGGCAUGACCGCCGCCGCCGCCACCGCUAAUGCCUCCUUUGGAGGACAUGCUCAUGCUAUUGUCCCUGUUAUAUAAAGGAAGAUUGUUACGUUAAUCCCUUUAAUAGUAAGAAAAUGCAGAUGGGAUGUGGGAAGAGACUGUAUAAUAUUAACGAGUUUAAAACUAUUUACACAAUCAAGUCGCCUAUAAGGUAAUUUGGUGGAGAUUAGCGGAUACAUCUGACAUCGAUGGGUAAAAAGCCCUUAGAAAACUUAGCUAGCGUUUGACCAUAGAUUUCAAAUUAAUUUUGAAAAAUUUGAUUUGGGUGAAGUUUGAUUUGGAAAUGAAAAUGUGUUUGGACAUACGUUUUCAAAAUAUAUUUUUC
rnacentral:lncRNA from 1 species